rnacentral:rRNA from 1 species
CCGCAGCUAACGCGUGAAGUUCGCCGCCUGGGGAGUACGGUCGCAAGAUUAAAACUCAAAGGAAUUGACAGGGACCCGCACAAGCGGUGGAUGAUGUGGAUUAAUUCGAUGCAACGCGAAAAACCUUACCUACCCUUGACAUGCCUCGAAUCCUGCAGAGAUGUGGGAGUGCUCGAAAGAGAGCGAGGACACAGGUGCUGCAUGGCUGUCGUCAGCUCGUGUCGUGAGAUGUUGGGUUAAGUCCCGCAACGAGCGCAACCCUUGUCAUUAAUUGCCAUCAUUCAGUUGGGCACUUUAAUGAGACUGCCGGUGACAAACCGGAGGAAGGUGGGGAUGACGUCAAGUCCUCAUGGCCCUUAUGGGUAGGGCUUCACACGUCAUACAAUGGUCGGUACAGAGGGUUGCCAAGCCGCGAGGUGGAGCCAAUCCCACAAAGCCGAUCGUAGUCCGGAUUGGAGUCUGCAACUCGACUCCAUGAAGUCGGAAUCGCUAGUAAUCGUGGAUCAGCAUGCCACGGUGAAUACGUUCCCGGGUCUUGUACACACCGCCCGUCACACCAUGGGAGUGGGUUUCACCAGAAGUAGGUAGUCUAACCGCAAGGGGGGCGCUUACCACGGUGGGAUUCAUGACUGGGGUGAAG